ACGGAGGAUGCAGGCGUUAUCCGGAUUUAUUAGGUUUAAAGGGUGCGCAGGCGGCCCGGUAAGUCAGUGGUGAAAGAUUGCCGCUUAACGGUAAAAUUGCCAUUGAUACUGUCGGGCUUGAAUACGGUAGAGGUAGGCGGAAUGUGUAGUGUAGCGGUGAAAUGCUUAGAUAUUACACAGAACACCGAUUGCGAAGGCAGCUUACUAUGCCGCGAUUGACGCUCAGGCACGAAAGCGUGGGGAUCAAACAG
rnacentral:rRNA from 1 species